rnacentral:lncRNA from 1 species
CUGAAAUGAAGUCUGCAUAGCCUGCUUGAGCACCUGAGCCAUCUGAGAAAUUAGUUUAAGCUGGGAUGCUGAACAGUCUUUCCCAGCAAUGUGGCAGCAGGGCUGCUCCAUGCAGGGAGGGAGGCAGAAGCAAGGUGGGCUGUGUCCACACUGACAAGUGUUCAUGCUUUGCUGCUGGUUCAGUCAGAGCCAUCAGUGUGUUACUGGACUUAUGAUGAAAUUUCAAGUAAAGGACAGAAAUGCCAUACUUCUUGCAGUACUGCCUGGAUUCAAGGGCAUGUUGUUUAUUUGUGGGCUUCUGAUACUGUGCUGCUAUCAAGCCUCCUUCAGAUGGGCCUUACUCAUGGAUUGGGGUACACAAGAUGCGAUGCAGUCCUUUUGUGAGGGGAAGAAUACUGCUUUGCUUCUGAAGCUUACCCAAGAAAGUCUUGGCAGACUCCUGUAUUUGAAAUAAGCAAAGAUUAGCUUUCUCUCCCAGUCCAGAGCAAUUUUGUUAUGUUUGAGAAGCAGACUAUCUUUGAGGAGAGCUUCGUUAACCUGAAGAAUGUGCCUACACCAGGAUUUCUCCUGCUAUAUUUUUAGAGAGCUUGGUGUUUAUCUAG